GAGGUUAUAGCUCAGUGGUAGAGUGUGUGCUUGGCGUGCACAAGGUCCUGGGUUCAAUCCCCAGCACCUCCG
rnacentral:tRNA from 1 species